GUCUACGGCCAUGCCACCCUGAAUGUGCCUGAUCUCAGAAGUUAAGCAGGGCCUGGUUAGUACCUGGAUGGGAGACCACCUCGGAAUAUCAGGUGCUGUAGGUG
rnacentral:rRNA from 1 species